AGCGAACGCUGGCGGCAGGCUUAACACAUGCAAGUCGAACGCCCGGGCAACCGGGAGUGGCAGACGGGUGAGUAACACGUGGGAACAUGCCCUUCGGUUCGGAAUAACUCGGGGAAACUCGUGCUAAUACCGGAUACGUCCGUAAGGAGAAAGAUUUAUCGCCGAAGGAUUGGCCCGCGUCCGAUUAGCUAGUUGGUGGGGUAAAAGCCCACCAAGGCGACGAUCGGUAGCUGGUCUGAGAGGAUGANCAGCCACACUGGGACUGAGACACGGCCCAGACUCCUACGGGAGGCAGCAGUGGGGAAUAUUGGACAAUGGGCGCAAGCCUGAUCCAGCCAUGCCGCGUGAGUGAUGAAGGCCCUAGGGUUGUAAAGCUCUUUCGGCGGGAAGAUAAUGACGGUA
rnacentral:rRNA from 1 species